UUGACCCGUCUUGAAACACGGACCAAGGAGUUUAUCUACUACGCGAGUAAAUGAGUGUGUUGAAAACUUAUUUGCGCAAAUAAAUUAACUGUUUAAUGGGAUUACAAGCAAAGCACUUGUGCAAUGCUUCUCCAUCCCGGAGUAUUUUCAUCAACAUAUGCUUGCAUAUGGAAAAUAUAUCAUGAGCGUACUGGAUAUGACCCGAAAGAUGGUGAACUAUGCCUGAUCAGGUUGAAGUCAGGGGAAACCCUGAUGGAAGACCGAAGCAAUUCUGACGUGCAAAUCGAUUGUCAGAAUUGGGCAUAGGGGCGAAAGACCAAUCGAAGUAUCUAGUAGCUGGUCACUUCCGAAGUUUCCCUCAGGAUAGCUGGAGCAUAGAGAGUUUAUUUACUAACUCAUACCUGGUAAAGCGAAUGAUUAGAGGCCUUAGGCGCGAAAUGCGUUUAACCUAUUCUCAAACUUUAAAUGGGUAUGUAAGCUAUCAUACUUGAAUGAUGAUGGCCUAUGGCGAGCUUGCUCGUCUGUAAGAUUGUAUGCGCCCAGUGGGCCAAGUUUUGGUAAGCAGAACUGGUGCUGUGGGAUGAACCAAACGCAUUGUUAAGGCGCCCAAAUAAACGACGCAUCAUCUGAUACCAUGAAAGGUGUUGAUUGCGAAGACAGCAAGUAGCGGGUAACCCG
rnacentral:rRNA from 1 species